CCUACGGGAUGCAGCAGUGAGGAAUAUUGGUCAAUGGACGAGAGUCUGAACCAGCCAAGUAGCGUGAAGGAUGACUGCCCUAUGGGUUGUAAACUUCUUUUAUAAAGGAAUAAAACGAGGCACGUGUGCCUUGUUGCAUGUACUUUAUGAAUAAGGAUCGGCUAACUCCGUGCCAGCAGCCGCGGUAAUACGGAGGAUCCGAGCGUUAUCCGGAUUUAUUGGGUUUAAAGGGAGCGUAGAUGGGUUGUUAAGUCAGUUGUGAAAGUUUGCGGCUCAACCGUAAAAUUGCAAUUGAUACUGGCAGUCUUGAGUACAGUUGAGGUAGGCGGAAUUCGUGGUGUAGCGGUGAAAUGCUUAGAUAUCACGAAGAACCCCGAUUGCGAAGGCAGCUUACUAAACUGUGACUGACAUUGAUGCUCGAAAGUGUGGGUAUCAAACAGGAUUAGAUACCCUUGUAGUC
rnacentral:rRNA from 1 species